rnacentral:rRNA from 1 species
UACGUAGGGGGCAAGCGUUGUCCGGAUUUAUUGGACGUAAAGAGCGUGUAGGCGGCCAGGUAGGUCAGCUGUGAAAACUCGAGGCUCAACCUCGAGACGCCGGUUGAAACCAUCUGGCUAGAGUCCGGAAGAGGAGAGUGGAAUUCCUGGUGUAGCGGUGAAAUGCGCAGAUAUCAGGAGGAACACCUGUGGCGAAAGCGGCUCACUGGACCACAACUGACGCUGAGGCGCGAAAGCUAGGGGAGCAAACAGG